rnacentral:sRNA from 1 species
AUAAAGACAGCGUAACUCCCCAAUGGACGCUGAUACACAGAGAGAGCCUCA